GCCCGCAUAGCUCAGACGGCAGAGCGCAUCCAUGGUAAGGAUGAGGUCGCCGGUUCGAUUCCGGCUGCGGGCUCCA
rnacentral:tRNA from 1 species